rnacentral:tRNA from 2 species
GCUGGUGUAGCUCAAUUGGCAGAGCAGCUGAUUUGUAAUCAGCAGGUUGCUGGUUCGAUUCCGGUCACCAGCUCCA